rnacentral:lncRNA from 1 species
AAAGCUUUAUGGGCCCUUAGGAGUAGGGUGGGUGUCAGAGGAGAAAACCCCACUUCCUGGCCUCAGAAAGGCACACAGGGUUUCUCUGUGUAGCCCUGGCUGUCCUGAAGUCCAUCUUUUUUUUGCCCAUAAUUGGAUGACAGUGAUGUUAUGAUCAAGCCAGACCAGAGAUUUCCACCUUCAACCCGCCCAGGUAAAAAUCAGGAGAAUGGGGAAUGAAAAUCACACUCACUUCACAUUUCAUCGCUAGACUGCAGGGGAAAGAGAAGAUGCCCCAGCAGCAGAAAGCUUAGCUGGGAACACAGGCUCUGGGACGAGAAGAGGCACACCCAGCCGGGCUCACUUCUG